CCUACGGGCGGCUGCAGUGAGGAAUAUUGGACAAUGGGUGAAAGCCUGAUCCAGCCAUCCCGCGUGAAGGAUGACGGUCCUAUGGAUUGUAAACUUCUUUUGUACAGGGAUAAACCUACUCUCGUGAGGGUAGCUGAAGGUACUGUACGAAUAAGCACCGGCUAACUCCGUGCCAGCAGCCGCGGUAAUACGGAGGGUGCAAGCGUUAUCCGGAUUUAUUGGGUUUAAAGGGUCCGUAGGCGGACCUGUAAGUCAGUGGUGAAAUCUCAUAGCUU
rnacentral:rRNA from 1 species